AGUACCUGGCUACUUUGCCGGCGAGCGGCAGAGGGGUGAGUAGUGUCGGGGAAACUGCCUGAUGGAGGGGGAUAACUACUGGAAACGGUAUCUAAUACCGCAUAAUGUCACAAGACCAAAGAGGGGGACCUUCGGGCCUCUUGCCCUCAUAUGUGCCCAUAUGGGAUUAUCUAGUAUGUGGGGUAAUGGCUCACCUACGCGACUAUCCCUAUCUGGUCUGAGAAGAUGACCACCCACUCUGGAACUGACACACGGUCCACACUCCUACGGGAGGCAGCAGUGGGGAAUAUUGCACAGUGGGCGCAAGCCUGAUGCACCCGUGCCGCGUGUAUGAAGAGGGCCUUCGGGUUGUAAAGUACUUUCCGCGGGGAAGAAGGUGUUGAGGUUAAUACCCUCAACAUUUGACGUUACCCGCAAAAAAAGCACCGGCUAACUCCGUGCCAGCACCCGCGGUAAUACAGAGGGUGCAAGCGUUAAUCAAAAUUACUGGGCGUAAAGCGCACGCGCGCGGUCUGUCAUGUCAGAUGUGAUAUCCCCGGUCUCACCCUGGGAACUGCACUCAAAACUGGCGCGCUAGACUCGUGUAGAGGGGUGUAGAAUUCCAUGUGUAGCGGUGAUAUGCAUAGAUAUCUAGAAGAAUACCUGUCGCGAACGCCGCCCCCUGCACAAACACUGACUCUCAUGUGCGAACGCGUGGAGAGCACACAAGAUGAUAUACUCUGAUACUCCACG
rnacentral:rRNA from 1 species